rnacentral:rRNA from 1 species
UACGUAGGGUGCGAGCGUUGUCCGGAAUUAUUGGGCGUAAAGAGCUCGUAGGCGGUUUGUCGCGUCGGCCGUGAAAACUUGGGGCUUAACCCCGAGCCUGCGGUCGAUACGGGCAGACUUGAGUUCGGCAGGGGAGACUGGAAUUCCUGGUGUAGCGGUGAAAUGCGCAGAUAUCAGGAAGAACACCCGUGGCUAAGGCGGCUCUCUAGUACGGUACUGACGCUGAGACGCGAAAGCGUGGGGAGCGAACAGG